UACGAAGGGGGCUAGCGUUGCUCGGAAUUACUGGGCGUAAAGCGUGCGCAGGCGGUCUGUUAAGACCGAUGUGAAAUCCCCCGGGCUUAACCUGGGAACUGCAUUGGUGACUGGCAGGCUUUGAGUGUGGCAGAGGGAGGUAGAAUUCCACGUGUAGCAGUGAAAUGCGUAGAGAUGUGGAGGAAUACCGAUGGCGAAGGCAGCCUCCUGGGCCAACACUGACGCUCAUGCACGAAAGCGUGGGGAGCAAACAGG
rnacentral:rRNA from 1 species